rnacentral:rRNA from 1 species
UACGAAGGGGGCUAGCGUUGCUCGGAAUUACUGGGCGUAAAGGGCGCGUAGGCGGCUUAACAAGUCACUUGUGAAUCUCCGGCGUAACUCGGAACGGCCAAGUGAAGCUGUCAAGCUAGAGUGCAGAAGGGCAAUCGGAAUUCUUGGUGUGAGCGGUGAAAUGCGUAGAUAUCAAGAGGAACACCUGAGGUGAAGACGGGUUGCUGGGCUGACACUGACGCUGAGGCGCGAAAGCCAGGGGAGCAAACGGG